rnacentral:rRNA from 1 species
UAGGGAAUAUUGGGCAAUGGACGCAAGUCUGACCCAGCCAUGCCGCGUGCAGGAAGAAGGCCUUCUGGGUUGUAAACUGCUUUUAUCUAGGAAGAAAACACCCAUGCGUGGGAAACUGACGGUACUAGAUGAAUAAGCCCCGGCUAACUCCGUGCCAGCAGCCGCGGUAAUACGGAGGGUGCAAGCGUUGUCCGGAUUUAUUGGGUUUAAAGGGUGCGUAGGCGGCCCGGUAAGUCAGUGGUGAAACCCUCCAGCUCAACUGGAGAACUGCCAUUGAUACUGCCGGGCUUGAGUACAGACGAGGUAGGCGGAAUUGAUUGUGUAGCGGUGAAAUGCAUAGAUAC